CUACGGGCGGCUCCAGUGGGGAAUAUUGCACAAUGGAGGAAACUCUGAUGCAGCAACGCCGCGUGGAGGAUGACACUUUUCGGAGCGUAAACUCCUUUUAUAUAGGAAGAUAAUGACGGUACUAUAUGAAUAAGCACCGGCUAACUCCGUGCCAGCAGCCGCGGUAAUACGGAGGGUGCAAGCGUUACUCGGAAUCACUGGGCGUAAAGAGCGUGUAGGCGGGUUAAUAAGUCAGAAGUGAAAUCCUAUGGCUCAACCAUAGAACUGCUUUUGAAACUGUUAACCUAGAGUGUGGGAGAGGUAGAUGGAAUUUCUGGUGUAGGGGUAAAAUCCGUAGAGAUCAGAAGGAAUACCGAUUGCGAAGGCGAUCUGCUGGAACAUAACUGACGCUGAGACGCGAAAGCGUGGGGAGCAAACAGGAUUAGAUACCCGCGUAGUC
rnacentral:rRNA from 1 species